rnacentral:tRNA from 1 species
GAAGGUAUAGCUCAGUGGUAGAGCGCAUGCUCAGCAUGCACGAUCCUGGGUUCCAGCUCCAGUCCCUCCA